rnacentral:rRNA from 1 species
AGGACGAACGCUGGCGGCGUGCUUAACACAUGCAAGUCGAGCGGAAAGGCCCUUCGGGGUACUCGAGCGGCGAACUGGUGAGUAACACGUGAGCAACCUGCCCUUAGCUCCGGGAUAGCUCCGGGAAACCGGAAUUAAUACCGGAUACGACCACGGCCGACAUCUGCUGUGGUGGAAAGGAUUCCGGCUAAGGAUGGGCUCGCGGCCUAUCAGCUAGUUGGUGGGGUAAUGGCCCACCAAGGCGACGACGGGUAGCCGGCCUGAGAGGGCGACCGGCCACACUGGGACUGAGACACGGCCCAGACUCCUACGGGAGGCAGCAGUGGGGAAUAUUGCGCAAUGGGCGAAAGCCUGACGCAGCGACGCCGCGUGGUGGAUGAAGGCCUUCGGGUUGUAAACCCCUUUCAGCAGGGACGAAGCGAAAGUGACGGUACCUGCAGAAGAAGCGCCGGCUAACUACGCGCCAGCAGCCGC